rnacentral:rRNA from 1 species
GUGCCAGCAGCCGCGGUAAUACGGAGGGUGCAAGCGUUAAUCGGAAUUACUGGGCGUAAAGCGCGGCGUAGGUGGUUUGGUAAGCGAGAUGUGAAAGCCCCGGGCUUAACCUGGGAACGGCAUCCGGAACUGUCAAGCUAGAGUGCAGGAGAGGAAGGUAGAAUUCCCAGUGUAGAGGUGAAAUUCGUAGAUAUUGGGAGGAACACCGGCGGCGAAGGCGCCGAUCUGGAUAGAAUCUGACGCUGAGACGCGAAAGCGUGGGUAGCAAACAGGAUUAGAUACCCUGGUAGUCCACGCUGUAAACGAUGUGCACUAGGUGUUGGGGGUAUUGACCCUCUCGGUGCCGACGCUAACGCAUUAAGUGCACCGCCUGGGGAAGUACGGUCGCAAGACUGAAACUCAAAGGAAUUGGCGG